AAGUCGUAACAAGAUUUCCGUAGGUGAACCUGUGGAAGGAUCAUUACAGUAUGAAUAGAGGGAUGGUGCUGGCCCCCCUUAAAGGGGCAUGUGCAUGCCUUUAAUUUCAAUCUACAUACACCUGUGCACCACAGACAAGUUUGGACUCCACUGUGUAUUCAGUGAGUCGUUUUCUUGGGACAACCUCCCAAGGAAGCUGAGUCCAGACUCUGUCUAUUUCACUACACUAAUGCCUGUAUAAAAUGCAUGUUGUUUUGGCUCUACGGAGCUUUAAAUAAAUACAACUUUCAACAGCAGAUCUCUUGGCUUCCA
rnacentral:misc_RNA from 1 species